rnacentral:lncRNA from 1 species
UCCGGUCUCAUAUGAUAGCUUCUUUCACACUGAUUCUAAAAAUAUAUAGUUUCUAUGUACUUUUGUAUGUAGAAUGGGAGAUAAUUGGCUACUUCCGGUUUGUUGGAAGUCAGUUUUAGUCUAGAGUAAUCAGUUAAUGUAUCUAUAUGACAAAAUAUAUUGAUACUGAGUACUUUUAUAUGAAAAAAUUGCAAAAAAGGCUAUUUCCGGUUUUCUCAAGGUCACUUCCGGUAGUCAUUUUUCAAGGUCAUUUGUCACCAAACAUUUUGUACAAGGUUAAAUGCCUUUAUAAUGAACUUAG